UUACUGGGCGUAAAGGGCGUGUAGGCGGUCUUUCAAGUCCGAUGCUAAAGACUGGGGCUCAACCCCAGGCGGUGCGUUGGAUACUGUGAGGCUAGACGGUCGGAGGGGGUAGCGGAAUUUCCGGAGUAGCGGUGAAAUGCGCAGAUACCGGAAGGAACGCCAAUAGCGAAGGCAGCUACCUGGACGACUUGUGACGCUGAGGCGCGAAAGCGUGGGGAGCAAACCGGAUUAGAUACCCGGGUAGUCCACGCCCUAAACCAUGAGUGCUGGGUGUCCGGCUUCUGCUGGGUGCCGUAGCUAACGCGCUAAGCACUCCGCCUGGGAAGUACGCACGCAAGUGUGAAACUCAAAGGAAUUGACGGGGGCCCGCACAAGCGGUGGAGCAUGUGGUUUAAUUCGAAGCGACGCGAAGAACCUUACCAGGCCUUGACAUGCCCGGAACCCCUCUGAAAGGAGGGGGUGCCCGCAAGGGAGCCGGGACACAGGUGCUGCAUGGCCGUCGUCAGCUCGUGUCGUGAGAUGUUGGGUUAAGUCCCGCAACGAGCGCAACCCCUAUCCCUAGUUGCCAGCAGUUCGGCUGGGCACUCUAUGGAGACUGCCUGCGAAAGCAGGAGGAAGGCGGGGAUGACGUCUGGUCCGCAUGGCCCUUACGGCCUGGGCGACACACGUGCUACAAUGCCAAGGACAGAGCGCUGCUACCUCGCGAGAGGACGCCAAUCGCAAAAACCUUGGCUCAGUUCGGAUUGGAGUCUGCAAC
rnacentral:rRNA from 1 species